ACCAAUGAAAAACAAAGAUGUGUGGAGCAAGAGAUAGUGGUAAUCUAUGAGCAAAAUGGUUUCCAAGCAACAACAACAAAACAGCCCUAGACUAGUGUAGAGCAAAACCACACAAAGAGAUAACAAAGCAUAAACAAGAUAAGCAAGAAAGGAAGAACAAAACACCAAGAAGAUUGUUGACCCAGUUCAGCCAAUAUGGCCUAAUCUGGGGGAGAGAGCAGCUCUCCAAUCC
rnacentral:lncRNA from 1 species